rnacentral:other from 1 species
GGGCUGCUGCGGCUCUCGUGAAGGUCAUCUAUCCCGGGGACCUUAAUCGCCUCAAUCGGGAGCUGUCCCUGCUCUGGCCCGAGGGCCUAGGCACACGGCGCCCACCUGGUCAUCCAGGUCCGAGGGGAUUGAAACGGCCCCACGGUCCUCGCGGCGCCCGC